CGAGUGUAGGGUUCCUAGCGAGCCCAACCUCCCACCCGUGUUUACUGUACCUUAGUUGCUUCGGCGGGCCCGCCAUUCGUGGCCGCCGGGGGCUCUCAGCCCCGGGCCCGCGCCCGCCGGAGACACCACGAACUCUGUCUGAUCUAGUGAAGUCUGAGUUGAUUGUAUCGCAAUCAGUUAAAACUUUCAACAAUGGAUCUCUUGGUUCCGGCAUCGAUGAAGAACGCAGCGAAAUGCGAUAACUAGUGUGAAUUGCAGAAUUCCGUGAAUCAUCGAGUCUUUGAACGCACAUUGCGCCCCCUGGUAUUCCGGGGGGCAUGCCUGUCCGAGCGUCAUUGCUGCCCAUCAAGCACGGCUUGUGUGUUGGGUCGUCGUCCCCUCUCCGGGGGGGACGGGCCCCAAAGGCAGCGGCGGCACCGCGUCCGAUCCUCGAGCGUAUGGGGCUUUGUCACCCGCUCUGUAGGCCCGGCCGGCGCUUGCCGAACGCAAAUCAAUCUUUUUCCAGGUUGACCUCGGAUCAGGUAGGAUACCCGCUGAACUUAAGC
rnacentral:rRNA from 1 species